AAUAGACUAAAUUAUACCGUAAAGAUAACUUUUAUACACACUGGGAAACCAAAAAAUUUGCAUGACUCACUUUAUUGUGAUAUUUGCUUUAUUGCAGUGGUCUAGAACAAAACCCACAAUAUCUCUGAGGUAUACCUAUAAAUUAAAAUGCCACAAACCUCAGUGUUCUUACCAAGACUCAGUGCUUUUCUUGAAAAAGCACUCCCUGGAUUGCCAGAAGCUUUUAGUUAGCUUCCAAAGUUCAAAAAAUAUUAAUUCUGCCAAUUUUUACAAUUUUUUUUUGUUGCUGUUGUUGUUGGUCUUAUCAAGGGGUAGACUUUUGGAGUUUCUUACUCAACCAUUUACACUGGUAUCACCCAAAAACAUUCCCUUUUGUAUCUAUAGUUGUAUCUGUAAUUUCAUAUUUAUUUUCCUGGAAAAGAUCCCCCAAAUUAUGUAAGCAUGAAGCCUCAUAAAACCUGAAUCUGUCCUGAUACAUGACAGUAGGCAAUUGUGAAUGGAGUCCUUCAGAAGAAGACGACAGUAUUACAGAAGGGAGAAAAUAUUUUGAGAUGAGGGGAUUAAAGAAGGGCUUUAAAGUGAGCCUUCAUGGAAGAAUUAAAUUUUCACAGGUGGAGAAUGGGAGGAAAGAAGAGCAGAUAAUUUAGAUUGUGGGAAAGCUGUCAUCUUUGAGGAAAAGCAAUGAGUCCACUUUGACUUGGGUAAAGAAUGUUUGGAGAGCUGUGAGGGAGAUAAGGCUGAGGAGGUAGGUUGCAGCUUCCAAUGCCCAGAUUAGAGGGGUUCAUAAAAAGUCUCAUUAUCCAAAAAUAAGAAUAAUAAUUUUUUCAUCCUACAUGUUAUUUUACUCCCAGAUUAAAACCACACAGUCUAUUCUGUAAAAAGCACUGUGAUUUAUCCUAUCAUAUACCUCUGUUGCCAUCCGUAAGCUGUGUCUUACAUAGUAUUCUGUACCUUUAAAUAACACAGUUGUGAGUGAGUUAUGGGACCUUGUUGAAUUUAAAUAUAAUUUUAAAACCCUGUGUGUCUAAGGGAAAUCAUAUUUCAGAAGCUCAUUCAUCACCUCUGUGGAUAAACUUUUAAGAACUGGCCAUCCUGAUUCUGGACUCAAAACAGACCAUGACUAGAAAAAAAGAAAGAGGUGUGUGUGACAGAACUAGAGGAAGCAACAAAGAUAAUUACUCAGAGUCAAAAGGAAACACAAAAUUCCAAGGGCUAAUUUUUGGAACUGGUGAGGCUUUGUAACAGCUAUUCACUUCUAAUCAUCCUCAAAUAAUAAAUGAAUAGAAGUCAAUACUAUUAGAAUAAUUUACCAUUCAUCAAGAAUAAUAAAUGAGGGGAAUAGCUUGUUAUUCAGAUUUCUCUAAAAAUAGCAAAGAAGGAGGAAGAAGGAGGAGUUCUACUACUGGUUUUCAGUCUGGCGACAACUUAUGCAGUGGUGGCAGGAUUGCUGGGCACCAGGGGUAGCAGAGGAGGAGACGAAGCCAAAUGUGCUUGCAGUCAGUGCCUCUGGCUUGGCCAGACACCAAAGUCAGCUGAAACAAUGAUGAAUCCUCCUGGUUAUUCCAGCUCCAACAAGCAAAAGACCUUGCUGCUUUACCAGCGCUUUGCCCCCAACGGGUUGCCUCUUCCUUUCAUUAAUCUUUAGUUUAUGAACUCUGUUGGCAAGAGGCACACAAAUCAUCCACAAAUCACA
ensembl:lncRNA